rnacentral:rRNA from 1 species
AACGAACGCUGGCGGCAGGCUUAACACAUGCAAGUCGAGCGCCCCGCAAGGGGAGCGGCAGACGGGUGAGUAACGCGUGGGAAUCUACCCAUCUCUACGGAAUAACGCAUGGAAACGUGUGCUAAUACCGUAUACGUCCUUCGGGAGAAAGAUUUAUCGGAGAUGGAUGAGCCCGCGUUGGAUUAGCUAGUUGGUGGGGUAAAGGCCUACCAAGGCGACGAUCCAUAGCUGGUUUGAGAGGAUGAUCAGGCACACUGGGACUGAGACACGGCCCAGACUCCUACGGGAGGCAGCAGUGGGGAAUAUUGGACAAUGUGCGCAAGCCUGAUCCAGCCAUGCCGCGUGUGUGAUGAAGGCCCUAGGGUUGUAAAGCUCUUUCACCGGUGAAGAUAAUGACGGUAACCGGAGAAGAAGCCCCGGCUAACUUCGUGCCAGCCGCCGCCGUAAUAC